GGGGAGUGGCAGACGGGUGAGUAACGCGUGGGAACAUACCCUUUCCUGCGGAAUAGCUCCGGGAAACUGGAAUUAAUACCGCAUACGCCCUACGGGGGAAAGAUUUAUCGGGGAAGGAUUGGCCCGCGUUGGAUUAGCUAGUUGGUGGGGUAAAGGCCUACCAAGGCGACGAUCCAUAGCUGGUCUGAGAGGAUGAUCAGCCACAUUGGGACUGAGACACGGCCCAAACUCCUACGGGAGGCAGCAGUGGGGAAUAUUGGACAAUGGGCGCAAGCCUGAUCCAGCCAUGCCGCGUGAGUGAUGAAGGCCUUAGGGUUGUAAAGCUCUUUCACCGAUGAAGAUAAUGACGGUAGUCGGAGAAGAAGCCCCGGCUAACUUCGUGCCAGCAGCCGCGGUAAUACGAAGGGGGCUAGCGUUGUUCGGAAUUACUGGGCGUANAGCGCACGUAGGCGGAUAUUUAAGUCAGGGGUGAAAUCCCGCAGCUCAACUGCGGAACUGCCUUUGAUACUGGGUAUCUUGAGUAUGGAAGAGGUAAGUGGAAUUCCGAGUGUAGAGGUGAAAUUCGNAGAUAUUCGGAGGAACACCAGUGGCGAAGGCGGCUUACUGGUCCAUUACUGACGCUGAGGUGCGAAA
rnacentral:rRNA from 1 species